CUGUAUUUCUGGCUCAGUACUUGGAAUGAAGAGUUCCUGUUACCCAACUUUCCAAGGUGAUCACUGAACAAAUGUUGAAGCCUCUUUAUGAGACUGAUGUAGAAAUCUGUUGAGUCAGGAUCUGAAAUCCAUCUAAUACUAUAGUUUUUUCCUAACUCUGUAGAGUUGGACGCAGACAAAACACAAUGUGUUCUGUUACUUGUCUUCCUCCUCUUUAUUAAACAAAAGUAAUCAUA